GUUCCCAGCCACUGUGGACAGAGUAGCUGCCGUCCAGUGGUGGCCUCUGCCUUGAGGUUGAGAGCAAUGGAGCCAGCGUACCCCAGACUGAACCACUGACACCCGGAGCCCACACAAACUUCUCUCCUGCUGAGGGCUUCUUGCCAGCUGUUCACAGAGGACUGGGGGCCCUCCCGGCACCCUGUGCGGGACGACGCCACUCGUCACUCAGCCUGCUCUUCCUGCUGUCUUGUAAUCGACUGUUACCAGCAGGAGCGAAGGCAGGCUUUGGGGGAUGUUCUUUAGUGAGUGAAACCUCACACGAGGUGGCCCCGAGGGAAGGAUUGCUGUCUUUGUCACCUGGGCGUGGGUGGACCAGCUCCCCCUCAGAAGACCCUGCCUGGACACGUGUGCUCCUGAGACACCUCUCAGACUUUAAGAGGGAUUUCUUUAAAAUGCUGGAAGGAGUGUUCAAUGAUAGGAUAAAACUCCACGAAAAUACGAGGCCUGCAACUUCUCCAGGAACGGUAUCUUCAGCACAUCUGGGAAGCAUCUAAACAUUCAGAAAGCUGCUGACUCGAAAUCGGAGCCGGAGAUCCUUGGAGGGCACGGUGACCUUGCUGAUUAGUACAGGAACCAGGACGUUAGGAAGUGAGCCCGGCCGCAGGAUUUGAGCCACAGUGACCUGCACCCCUCCAGGCCCUGGGGCACCACCCACCACCUCCAGGCAGGCGGCCAGCCUCCCUCUGCAGCAUUCAGCGUGGUCAAGAGAAGAUCUCGUUGUGAGGUCAGGCACCAGUUACCAAAAGGAGGCAGAUUAAAAGGCCGCGGGAUGGGGCUUUAUGGAGAUUUCGCUCCGGGGAGACCCUCCAGACCAACGGGGCGGGUCCAGGGAGAAGCUCAAGGGGCUGACCAGACUGGCAUUUUUAUGGGGUUUAGGGCAGGAAGGGAGGGCUUGGAACAGGAAAAGGGGGGUUUUAGAGUUCCUUGUCCUGCUGACUGACAGGCCGUUCUGUCGGCACCUGAUUGGUGGUUCUUUCGGCCCAGGUUGCUUGGUGCUUUGUUCCUCAGCCAACCUCAAAACCGACCUGACACUAAGGACUGUCGUUGGGUCCUGGGCUCAGAGAAGCCUUGUCUUACUGGUCCCCACAGCCCGAGUGUGGGUCACGGCUCAAAUGGGCCUUAAUUUCACUCCAUCUCUUUAUUGUGUGCCAUGUUGAUUGUAGUCACCAAGAGCCACCGUGGUUAUAUAAAUCUGAGUUAAUUAGAAGCCAGUUCCACAUGUCUUUGCAUGACUGUCAUCCCGUAAGGACAGCAGUCACACUGGAUGGGGGGCUACCCUGCUCCAGCAUGUCCUCAUCUUAGCAGAUGACACUUGCUAAGCUUCUAUUUCUAAAAAGGUCACAUUCUGAGAUGCUGGGGACUCGGACUUCAAGGUAUUUCAAUUUUUGUGGGAAGACACUAUUCAACCAGAAAGCCCCCGACUCCCCGACUGCUCUGCUGGGUCCCCCACGCCUGGCCUGGCUCCUCUGCUGGGCUCCCUUCCUCCAGCCCUCGACUGGUUUGGCUGUGGGAGCUCCCAGGGGAAGACCAGGAGUUGCAUGGCCACCAGGUCAGCCCCCCCUGCCCUCCCUGCACCAUGCUGAGGUCCAGGCAGCCCGUGUCCGUGCCUGGCUCUGCUGGGCCUUUUGCCUGCCUGGUUCCAGCUCUUGCCGGAUGCUGGUCAUGUUGCAUCCCUCAGGUCUGGAUGCGGAUGACUUUGUCCCUGGGUUUCUCAGCAGCCUUUUGUCUUCCUGCAUGCCCACGAGUCUCUCCAGUUCCCCUGUUAACUCUCCUGCCACCUGCUGAGUGUUUCCGAUGGGGACCUGGUGCCUCUGGGGAGCUGUGCACUGCUCCCCCUUCCCUGAGGGUGGCCUUGGGGUUCCCGUAUGACCAGUGCCUUUUCCCAAACACAAAACAGAAGGCAGUCUUCCCUUGUCCUCCCCCAGGGCCACCCCAAUGGCUUCUGCCCCUCCCCCAGGCCUCGAAGGCCCCUCACUUGCUGUGUCCAGGGCCUGACCCCACUGGUUCCUCCAGCCAUUCAGCCGUGGCUUGGUCCCUGCCACUCACAGAAGCAGCCCUGCUUUCUGCUUGUGAAGGGCCAGACGCCCUUCGUGUCCCCGAGUGUGUCCUGGUCCUGCUGCUCCAUGGACGUUGCUUCUAUCCCCAUUUCUCACCACCCCCCUCCAUGGCCUUGACCUGCUUCCUGCUGCUUCCCUCCAGUUCUCUGUCUCCACAGAGUCCCUCUGGGCCUCAGGCCCAGGCUUCAGCCAGAGCAGCCAACCUCCUGCAGUUCUGCAGGUGGAAGUCUGGGAUCAGGUGGUGGCGGAGUGGCUUUGUCCUGAGCCUCACCUUUAUGACCUCUUUGACCUUCAUCACCUCCUA